GUUGAUGUAUUUUGUUCUUAUGCAACAAGUUAUCAAUGAAGAUGUUGUACAGGAUGACAUAGAUGAGGAGGAAGACGUAGAUGAUGAAUUUCUUGAGGACGAAUUUCUUGAGGACAACUUAAGUGAUGAAUUUCAGGAGGAUGAUAUAGAUGAUGAAUUUGAGGAGGAUGAUAUAGAUGAUGAAUUUCAAGAGGAUGACCUAGAUGAUGAAUUUCAAGAGAAUGACAUCGGUGAUGAAUUUGAAGUGGACGGUUUGGCUGAUGAAUUACAAGAUAAACUUGAAUGAUCGAGUUGGAUGGUGUUUUAUUUUGGAUUGUAGUUAAGCCACAUUUUGGAUUGUAGUUAAACCACUAAACUUCUCCGAACUAUAGUUUUGUUAUUUUGCUAGGCUUAUACUUCGAAGCAUUAAACUUAUCAAGUAAUGUUUGACAUUUUGAUUACUAUUAUGUCUUGAAUUAAUGUUUGAACUAUGUUAUUAUAUUAC
rnacentral:lncRNA from 1 species